GAACGAGACCUUCGGGUCUAGUGGCGCACGGGUGCGUAACGCGUGGGAAUCUGCCCCUUGGUUCGGAAUAACAGUUAGAAAUGACUGCUAAUACCGGAUAACGACGUAAGUCCAAAGAUUUAUCGCCGAGGGAUGAGCCCGCGUAGGAUUAGCUAGUUGGUGUGGUAAAGGCGCACCAAGGCGAUGUGCCUUAGCUGGUCUGAGAGGAUGAUCAGCCACACUGGGACUGAGACACGGCCCAGACUCCUACGGGAGGCAGCAGUGGGGAAUAUUGGACAAUGGGCGAAAGCCUGAUCCAGCAAUGCCGCGUGAGUGAUGAAGGCCUUAGGGUUGUAAAGCUCUUUUACCCGGGAUGAUAAUGACAGUACCGGGAGAAUAAGCUCCGGCUAACUCCGUG
rnacentral:rRNA from 1 species